rnacentral:rRNA from 1 species
AUAUUUUGCCAAAUCACUUUGAAAGCAUCGGUUCUCGUCCGAUCAACGAAGUUAAGCCACGUUCGAGCCUAAUUAGUUAUUUGAUGGGUGACCGCUUGGGAAACUGAGGUGCAGUAAACA